rnacentral:rRNA from 1 species
GAUGAACGCUGGCGGCGUGCCUAAUACAUGCAAGUCGAGCGAACGGACGAGAAGCUUGCUUCUCUGAUGUUAGCGGCGGACGGGUGAGUAACACGUGGAUAACCUACCUAUAAGACUUGGAUAACUUCGUGAAACCGGAGCUAAUACCGGAUAAUAUUUUGAACCGCAUGGUUCAAAAGUGAAAGACGGUCUUGCUGUCACUUAUAGAUGGAUCCGCGCUGCAUUAGCUAGUUGGUAAGGUAACGGCUUACCAAGGCAACGAUGCAUAUCCGACCUGAGAGGGUGAUCGGCCACAAUGGAACUGAGACAAGGUCCAGAAUACUAAGGGAGGCAGCAGUAGGGAAUCUUUCGAAAUGGGCGAAAGCCUGAAGGAGCAAAGACGCGUGAGUGAUGAAGGUCUUCGGAUCGUAAAACUCUGUUAUUAGGGAAGAACAUAUGUGUAAGUAACUGUGCACAGCUUGAAGGUACCUAAUAAGAAAGCCACGGCUAACUACGUG